rnacentral:rRNA from 1 species
AUUGAACGCUGGCGGCGUGCUUAACACAUGCAAGUCGAUCGGUAACGCGGGGGCAACCCUGGCGACGAGAGGCGGACGGGUGAGUAACGCUUGGGAAUCUGCCCAUCAGCGGGGGACAACCCGGGGAAACUCGGGCUAAUACCGCAUACGCUCCACGGAGGAAAGCAGGGGACCGCAAGGCCCUGCACUGAUGGAUGAGCCCAAGCCGGAUUAGCUAGUUGGCGGGGUAACGGCUCACCAAGGCGACGAUCCGUAGCUGGUCUGAGAGGACAAUCAGCCACACCGGAACUGAGACACGGUCCGGACUCCUACGGGAGGCAGCAGUGGGGAAUAUUGGACAAUGGGCGAAAGCCUGAUCCAGCGACGCCGCGUGGGUGAAGAAGGCCUGCGGGUUGUAAAGCCCUUUCGGUAGGGACGAAAACUCUUGCUCUAACAGAGCAGGAGCUUGACUUAACCUACAUAAGAAGCACCGGCUAACUCUGUGCCAGCCGCCGCAGUAAAAC